rnacentral:tRNA from 1 species
GCCGGUUUAGCUCAUUUGGUAGAGCACUUCACUUGUAAUGAUGGGGUGGUCCGUUCGAAUCGGACAACCGGCA